GACGAACGCUGGCGGCGUGCUUAACACAUGCAAGUCGAACGGAAAGGCCUCUUUCGGGGGGUACUCGAGUGGCGAACGGGUGAGUAACACGUGAGUAACCUGCCCUUGACUUUGGGAUAACUUCAGGAAACUGGGGCUAAUACCGGAUAGGAGCUCCUGCUGCCUGGUGGGGGUUGGAAAGUUUCGGCGGUUGGGGAUGGACUCGCGGCUUAUCAGCUUGUUGGUGGGGUAGUGGCUUACCAAGGCUUUGACGGGUAGCCGGCCUGAGAGGGUGACCGGCCACAUUGGGACUGAGAUACGGCCCAGACUCCUACGGGAGGCAGCAGUGGGGAAUAUUGCACAAUGGGUGGAAGCCUGAUGCAGCAACGCCGUGUGCGGGAUGACGGCCUUCGGGUUGGAAACCGCUUUCGCUCAUGACGAAGCUUUGUGUGACGGUAGUGGGUAAAGAAGCACCGGCUAACUACGUG
rnacentral:rRNA from 1 species